UAGAUUUGGACGCGCUUUUUUAUUUUUUAUAAAUAUUUAAGUUUUUUGCCACGUCAGCUUUUGGGUGGUAUAAGUUCCACUUUAAAUAAGGAUAAGGGGGUAAUAGAUCGCCCGAUUAGUUGGAGUGUGAACUCGACUUUUUAGAUGAAGGCAAGAUCAAAUGAUCUGCCAGGACCAGUUCCUUUAAACCAGACACAGAAAAUGUUUGCCCUUAUUAUUUAUGUUUUUCUGGACAUUUAUGCAGAAUCUUUUCAAUUGUGUUCGAGUCGCACAUUUUGCAUGUACAUGUGAUAGUUCAUCUGAACUUAGAAUUAGGGAGUGUAGUGACUUUGUUUUCUUCUUUGUUCUAUAGUUAUCAAAUGUUGCGGCAAGGAAAAGAUGAGUUAGUUGUUGAUUGUUUAGAGGUUUUUGUAUUAUGACUUCUUAUUCUCCAGCUACCAUAUUUUUGGCUUCUCAGAACUAAGUUAAUGUUCCGGAUAUAGUACUUCCCAUGUUACACUUGAACAUAGCCGGUCCGACAAAGGAGGGGGGUUUAUUGUCAAUAAGAAGUCAGAUCCUUGACUAUUGUGUUGUUA